rnacentral:ncRNA from 1 species
UGAAAAGCAAUGAGAGGAACUAGUAACAGGACUUUGUUCUAAAAGAGAGCCGGUGGCUGGUGGAAACCGGUGAAUAAACCCUGUGAAUCCAUCCUCGAGCAAAGCAUGGAACACCCGGUACUACUCGGGAAAAGUAAAUGCUUUCGGUUAAAACCGUUAUGGAUUUAAGGUGGAAAGCUCAUGCUUUCAACUAGGGUGGCAACGCGGGUAACUCUCGUCCCUUUU